GACGAACGCUGGCGGCAUGCCUAACACAUGCAAGUCGAACGGAGAUUAUUUCGAUAAUCUUAGUGGCGAACGGGUGAGUAACGCGUGGGCAACCUGCCCUCUAGAUGGGGACAACAUCCCGAAAGGGGUGCUAAUACCGAAUGUGACAGCAAUCUCGCAUGAGGAUGCUGUGAAAGAUGGCCUCUAUUUAUAAGCUAUCGCUAGAGGAUGGGCCUGCGUCUGAUUAGCUAGUUGGUGGGGUAACGGCCUACCAAGGCGAUGAUCAGUAGCCGGUCUGAGAGGAUGAACGGCCACAUUGGGACUGAGACACGGCCCAGACUCCUACGGGAGGCAGCAGUGGGGAAUCUUCCGCAAUGGGCGAAAGCCUGACGGAGCAAUGCCGCGUGAGUGAUGAAGGAAUUCGUUCCGUAAAGCUCUUUUGUUUAUGACGAAUGUGCAAGUUGUGAAUAAUGACUUGUAAUGACGGUAGUAAACGAAUAAGCCACGGCUAACUACGUGCCAGCAGCCGCAGUAA
rnacentral:rRNA from 1 species